GAUGAAGAACGCAGCGAAAUGCGAUAAGUAAUGUGAAUUGCAGAAUUCAGUGAAUCAUCGAAUCUUUGAACGCACCUUGCACCCUUUGGAAUUCCAAAGGGUAUGCUCGUUUGAGUGUCAUUGUACUCUCACACUCUCCGAUCCUUUGGAUUUGGGGAGCGGUGGACUUGGGUGCUUGCUGCUUUCAUUGUGGCUCACCUCAAAUGUGUCAGUGCAUCUCUUGAUUGGACAUAGUACGGCGUGAUAAGUGUCUUCGCCGGCACCUCAUAUGAGGGUGGCCGAUCGGGAGCUCUGUGCUUUCAAACCGUCUUCGGACAACGCUGACAACUUGACCUCAAAUCGAGUAGGACUACCCGCUGAACUUAAGCAUAUCAAUAAGCGGAGGA
rnacentral:misc_RNA from 1 species